rnacentral:rRNA from 1 species
AGUGAACGCUGGCGGUAGGCCUAACACAUGCGAGUCGAACGGCAGCACAGUAAGAGCUUGCUCUUACGGGUGGCGAGUGGCGGACGGGUGAGGAAUACAUCGGAAUCUACUUUUUCGUGGGGGAUAACGUAGGGAAACUUACGCUAAUACCGCAUACGACCUACGGGUGAAAGCAGGGGAUCUUCGGACCUUGCGCGAUUGAAUGAGCCGAUGUCGGAUUAGCUAGUUGGCGGGGUAAAGGCCCACCAAGGCGACGAUCCGUAGCUGGUCUGAGAGGAUGAUCAGCCACACUGGAACUGAGACACGGUCCAGACUCCUACGGGAGGCAGCAGUGGGGAAUAUUGGACAAUGGGCGCAAGCCUGAUCCAGCCAUACCGCGUGGGUGAAGAAGGCCUUCGGGUUGCAAAGCCCUUUUGUUGGGAAAGAAAAGCAGCAGGUUAAUACCCCGCUGUUCUGACGGUACCCAAAGAAUAAGCACCGGCUAACUUCGUG